CUCUUGACAUCACAACAGUUUAAUAUUUUAACUUAUUCAUUAAAUUGUGCUUCACAUCAAUGGAAAUCUUCAGUUCUACAAACUAUCAUUUUUAAAUAGCAAUAAAGGUUGAUAAUGUCACAAUACAGUCCCCUAGUAACUGAGUUCAUACAUAUUAUUGUACAGAAAUAAAAGGAAAUAUCUCUUAAGAGAAAUAAUUUACUAUCUACUGAAUAACUAUCUACAUGUAAAAUAGGUCCCCACAUAAAGAUCCAGAUUUUUCUUUCCAACACUGAAAUGAUACAUUAAAAGAGAAAUAAUGCAAUCAAAGCCCCAGAAGUACUUCUGAGAAAGAAAAAAAGGAAAGUGAAAAAAAAAUGAUCAUAUGAUUAACAAAUAAAUGUCAAGGAGGUGGAAGACACAUGUGACAAUUACUGAAGUACACAAAACUUUUGCUCCUCAAAACACUGGUUUUUCUGGCAAGAUGUCAAUCUGGCCCUUUGAUGAGUUCCCAUAAUGCAGCAGAACAUGUAGCUCACACAGGUUCCACUGAGUGUGCCAAAGGAUGACAGUUGCAAUCCUUUCCACAGACAUCUUGGAACACAGGCUCAAGAGACACCUGUCCAUCUGCGUUCUCAAUCUGGAGUACUGCUAGGUUAGCAUGAGUCCUUGCCUAGAAGUUCAAGGGCUUUUGUGUUGCAGAUGUUGCUGGUGUUUAUAGCUAGGCCAGUCCUCUGGAAAUUUCUGCACCUCUGCCAGGCAGGUUGGUUCUUUCACAUGCUGUGAAGAUGGGUUCAUGUGCAUUCCAUCAAUUCAUUAGGCUACAAAACACACAGGUUUCAGAACCUGCCCACUUGCUCAGAAGGGCUAAUUUGAAGUCUCAAGGAAUUAGUUCAGAUUUGUCCAGGUGAAUGUGGUGAGAAGAGAGCAGGCAUUGGCUUAUGUCCAGUGGAGAUGGCGGAAGGGGAGAAGAAGGAAGGCCGAAAGUGCCUUGGAGAAAGAACCCUCGCAUGCUCCUCAGAUGGCACAAAAUGGGUAGAAUCAUCAGACCCAGCCAGCCCUAAUACCCAGCCUGAAGACAUGCAGUUGCUCUGGUGACCAAUGGGGUCACAGCAACUAUGGGAAAGGAAAACCUUGGAGUCACAGCUGCGAUCAGAUCAGGGUAUUCUUGUGUAAGUCCAACCCAGCUUUCUCUUUGAUCUGAUCCUUCCAACUCAGCUUUCAGUCCCUACAACCAUUCCAAUGCUCUGGUCCUGUCUCAAGAUCCUCUUCAUUCAUUUCUUUUAAAUAGCUAAAAUAAUUAUAGUCCAUAUGUUUCCAGGCUGCCCUAGUUCUAGAGGACAGAGACUGUAUCUUAGUCAUUUUUCUAUUUUUUCAGUAUUACAUGUCAUAUAUUUAAUUCAUUACCUUUCCACCUUGGAAAGAUCUGCCUCCUUUAGGAGCCACAAUUUUCUCUAGAGUUACUCCUACUCUCCCUAACCCCCAUCUCUAAAUGAUCCCACUAUACAGGACCUCAGAUAGAGAUCAUGGUUGAUAAGGAAUCAGAUAAACUCUCUGUGUGCAGAUGUUAUCUUAGGACAACUUAAAGCAUUUCCUCUCUCCAGUGAGUAUGCAAAGGGACUCAUUUAACAGCCAAUGAAACCUUUAAGAAUGAAAGCAGUAUGUUGCUGACAAAGUACCAGGAGCCUGGGGAAGAAGACAUUAAAAAGGGAGAGUUUUCUUUCUUUUUUUUUUUUUGGUUGGUGGGGGCGGGUUUAUAUUGAUUUCCCUUAAUAGGGAGUUGUGAGCACAUUCCCUCGGCCUUCAUAUUGAAUAGGUUUUGAGUUGGAUGGAGUAGACAACCUGCUAGAAGUGUUUGAAUGCCUCCUCUGAGUUUUGGUCUCCCCUGCAGCACCGCCCAUCUCUUGGAUAUUUCAUUCCUAAUAAGAGGCCCCCUCACUGGAGGUAGGGAGCUGAGAGUAAACUUGACCAGUGUCUUUGGCAUUUUCCAUGUCAAAAAAGGUAAGGAAGGAUAUAAAUCAAUAAAGAUUUACAUUUCAUAUUCUUGCAGUUCCCAAUCCCAGUACUGAUGCUGAGCUGCAUAAAGUAGUCGGAAAGACUAUGAAGUCAAAAGGCUGGGGCUCUAAGCAACUUUCUUGCUCAUAAAUUAGAGUCGUUGGGAAAUCUUUCAACAUAUCUGACUCUCCAUCCCAAACUAGCAAGUGGUGUAAUGAAUAGAGGUCCUAUUUAGCACACAAGAAUGUAAUGAGGACCAAAUGAGACAGCACAUGCAAAAAUGUUCUGAAAACCAUUAAAUGCUACACAAAGUGAUGAAUUUUAGUCUUAUCUUUCGCAAAACAUAUGAUGAAGUAAGUGACAUUAAAAAGCACUUAAAUAUCGUUUGGUUCCCUUUUGUAUCAGAUACUGAUAGUCUUUAUCAGUAUUAAUUUCCACAUUAUUUCACAUUGUUUCUUUAAUAACAGAACCUCCUAUGCUUAUCAAGGCACAUGACAAUCAAUAAUAAAGACAUUCCCUAGCCUUCUUUGCAGCUAGAUGUGGCAAAUGUCUAGGUUUUAACCCAUGAGAUGUGACUGGAAGCAAUAUGUGCAACUUCCCUCCACUUCCUCUCUACUAUCUUAAAUGUAAAUGUGAUGGCAGGAGCUGUGGCAGCCAUCUUGGUCCAUGAGGUGGAUGCAGCACAUUAGGAUGACAGAGCAACAGGAGAGGGCCUAGGCGUCUGGUAACAUCACACACCAGAGCUGUAAAACCAGUUUGCCUUUAAGUAAGAGAGAAAUAGCUUCCAUGUUAAGUCACUAUUUUGAAUUUCUGUGUUAAAACAGCUGAAUGGGAAUUCUAUCCAAUCCAUUUAUAUUUAUUUUUUAAUGAUCUAUUCUUAUCUCCUUGCUAGGUCUAUCCUGGGGACCUUCUUGCCAAUAUUAGUACUAUCUCUACUCAGAUUUUUUUUAAAAAUUACCUUAAAGGCAUAACAAGGAGUCCUCAUACUUCAAACUUUUAAUCAAACUAAUUAUCACAAAGUUACCUCCUUUAGAUGAGAAGAAACACAUCUUUAUCAUUUUUAAUAAAAACACAUGAUAUGCCUCACUGUUGUCUAACACUGAUUGUUAAUGUUACCAAUUACUAUUAUUAGCAUUCUAAUAAUUCUCAGGGCAGUUUCCUCCAGUUUCCAAGAGUAGGCUGCCUAAAAGCUAGAAGGAGACAGAAUAGAUAAGUGUGUAUCUUAGUCCUUAAUAAAACACACACACACCACACACGUGCACAUAUACACAAAGUUGUCUCAUCCUAAUCUCCAAUCUGGGUACUGGAGCUUCCAUUGCCAAGAGAAGGGAAAGAACUGUAGGAGUCAAUAGGGUCAUAGAACCCCUGGGGAUUGUUUUUUUCUUUUUUGUCUUUUCUUGGGCUUUUGACACUGAUAUAUCUGGAGUUGAUUUGGUUUGGGAUUUAAUGCUCCUGACUUCCAUGGAUCCUUAGGCCCAGACGCCUUCUGCGGGCAUCACUUCCCUGAGCAUCACUCAGCAUGGAAGUGGGCAGUCCAUUUUUGGAGAAUAAACUGUAUCCCUACCUCUCCAUUUCUAUCAACAUAGGACCCCAUGGGUAUGACAAGCUUGCUGCUUUAGAAUGAAAUGAUAUGAGGGAGGAAGCCCAUGUCGGUCUUUUUAAUUUGCUUAGUACUGGCCUGGGGCCAACAUAAAGAGCUGGCUCCCUCUGAACAUCCUGAUACCUGGUCUCAAGUGGAGCCGCAUACAUCAUGCCUUCAGCAGAAGGCAGUGGAAGCCUUUGAUACCAAUCCCGAGGUGCCUAAGGAACAGCGUGAAGUGAGCAGGGGCUGCCUCCAAGUCUCAGUUAUGCAUGAAUUCCUUGCCAAAAUUUUAAAGUGAGUUUAAAAGAAACAAUCUGAAUGCUUUCUAACUUGUUUUGAUUUUCCACAUGACAAAACACUGGAUUGUUUGUGUGUGUGUGUGUGUGUGUGUGUGUGUGUCACAGGGGCAGGCAGAAGGAUAAUUUGCAGUCCUGCUAUUCUAGGCAGAACAUUAGAUCCUAACAAUGAGAUGAGAAGCUAGAGAGAGAGAGAGAGAGAGACGAACAUUAAUCCCAGCUGCAAUCCUCCUUCCCUUCUACCUUAGGAACAAAUCACUGGAAAUGGAGAAAUAUUUUGUGAGCCUAAUCUCUACCAAAUAACAAGCAACAUUUACUUGGCCCCUUUUAACUUACUCUUGUAUAUGGCUUAAAAAACACAGCUGCCUAAAAAGUCAUUGAUCUCUCAGCUCAUUGAUGGCUCAGUGAUGUGGAGGGGGCUGGACUGACCCAAGGCAGUAUGGCUCUGGGUCACUGUUAGCGUGGUGCUGUCAUGGUCGGGCUACCCACAUGGGUUAGAGACAAAUGCUUCUGGGAAAUUGCAGCUGGCUUCUUGCAUUAUUGGCAGGAAGCUUUAGAAUAUAUUUAAGGUAUGAAAAGGGCCUCGUUCAGUUCCUGGAGCAAGGGAGCCACCCGAUAAUGCCUUCCCUUGCACCCCAGAUGAAGCCAAGCACAGUGAGAGAAGCAUCUCCAGAUCUCUAUCUGGUGGAGCUGCUGGACUUCCCUCGGGGCAGGAACAUGAAAUCUGAGGGAAGAUACUUUUGGAACCUUGAAUCUGAAAGGAACUCAAUGUUUUGCAUCCUUGGGAUUGCCAGAGAUUGGCAGAGGAGAGUCAAACAAGGACACAGAGAUGGAGCAGCCUUGAUGUAAGUGGGAAAAGAACACACUGAAUGUGCUGACCGAAAAGCCAAGAGAAGAAGCAUUCAUGGAGGAUGGAGGGAGUGGACAACUGCGUCAAAUGCUGCUAAAAGACCAAAUGACAUAAGAACAAGGAAGAGAACCUACGGAUUUCUAGGGAGCCAUGAGAUGAAAACAUGAUUGGAUUGGGUUGAGAAUUAAAGGAUGGCUGAGAAAUUGGGGACAAUGGCACUUUUUAUGUCUUACUAGGACAGGAUAAAUACAAAUAGGGCAGUAACUAGAGGGCCACCAAAGGUGUUUUUCUUUUUCUUUUUUUGAGAUAACAGACGAUGAAACAUGUCUAUAUACUAAUGUGAAUGAUGCACAAAAGAGGGAGAAAUUGAUGGAGCAGAGAGAAGGGAAGUGAUGGUGGGAGUAAAGUUCUUGAGAAGGGGGAGCUAGUGGUGAGAUAUCUGGCAUUCGUAGGAUCUCGGGGACUUUAUUCACUAUAACAAGAUAACCAGUAAGGAGGGUGGAGACAGAUGCAGAUACGUGGGUGGAUUUGGUGAUGGGAGAAGUAGAUUUGUAUUUAUUGGUUUCCAUCCUGAACAAAGAUAAAGAAUUUCCCAGAAAUGGAAAAGUCUUAUAUAUUUUUUACCUUGCCCCAGAUUUCAAAGUUUUGACCUUGGGAUACAAGCACAGAAUUCUGCGAAAGGAGAGUGGAAUUUGUCUCUGAUCGGAGAAUACUCUAAUUGUUCAGAUACUGCACUGCUCCGAUGAACAACUUCUUUGGAAUAG
rnacentral:lncRNA from 10 species